GUUUCAUCGGACCGCUCUGCCGAUCUCUCGGCGUGGAGGAAACGUAAACAAAGAAAAUGUACUCUCUUGUCCAUUUUUUGGCGGAAAAUGAUGUCGCAGUUGUCCCUACCUGUUGGGUGUGCAAUGGCUGCACGGCAUGGCCACCCUACAAAUCAAAUCGGUUGAUGAUGGCAAUUAGAGAGCGUGAAGAGCCCUCGACUGACUGGGCCACAUUCUCCUGUCAGGUGAUGGCAUCAUGUUUGACAUAUGAAGAUGCAAAGUACAAAGAAAAAAAAUUCGGAAGCGACGUCCGACCUAACAUUGAAUAAUGAAGAGCGGGAGAAGAGAAAAAGGAAGAGACUGCAGCAUACUCUUUCUUCAUUUGAGGAUGAGGACUUCUAUGACCAAGAUGAACGACGUAACACUCAGCCAGCCCCUCAACUUCCAGAACGUGCACCAGAGCCCAAGCAAAAACGCACACGUGUAUGUUUGCUUUUUGUUGCUGCAAUUUCUUAACGCUUUCCAGCAUUUAGAUUUUUUAUUUUAUGUGAUUAGCCUCAGCUUGGUUAGCUGCAAUUGUGAUAAUGAAUGGUAUCCAUAUUGUUUAUUGAGCACCUGCUGUUUUGGUGUUUCUUUUAGAGCGCAGCUCUUAGGCGCCCGUUUCCGGCUUGAGUGGUGUCGCCGUCGC